AGGAGAGUUUGAUCCUGGCUCAGGAUGAACGCUAGCGGCAGGCUUAACACAUGCAAGUCGAGGGGCAGCGAGUUGGUAGCAAUACCGACGUCGGCGACCGGCGCACGGGUGAGUAACGCGUAUGCAACCUUUCCGAGACAGGGGGAUAGCCCAGGGAAACUUGGAUUAAUACCCCGUAGGCCGUGGUGCGGCAUCGCCCCAUGGUUAAAGUUCCGGCGGUCUCGGGUGGGCAUGCGUGCCAUUAGCUGGUUGGUGGGGUAACGGCCCACCAAGGCGACGAUGGCUACGGGGUCUAAAAGGAUGGUCCCGCACAUUGGAACUGAGACACGGUCCAAACUCCUACGGGAGGCAGCAGUGAGGAAUAUUGGUCAAUGGGGGGAACCCUGAACCAGCCAUGCCGCGUGGAGGAAGACGGCCCUACGGGUUGUAAACUCCUUUAGCACGGGAAUAAACUCGGCCACGCGUGGCCGACUGAAGGUACCGUGAGAAUAAGCAUCGGCUAACUCCGUGCCAGCAGCCGCGGUAAUACGGAGGAUGCAGGCGUUAUCCGGAUUUAUUAGGUUUAAAGGGUGCGUAGGCGGCCCGGUAAGUCAGCGUUGAAAGUCUGCGGCUCAACCGUAGAAUUGGCAUUGAUACUGUCGGGCUAGGAUGUGGUGGAAGUAGGCGGAAUGUGCAGUGUAGCGGUGAAAUGCUUAGAUAUUGUACAGAACACCGAUUGCGAAGGCAGCUUACUAUACCAUUAUUGACGCUGAGGCACGAAAGCGCGGGGAUCGAACAGGAUUAGAUACCCUGGUAGUCCCCU
rnacentral:rRNA from 1 species